rnacentral:rRNA from 1 species
AAUGGACGAAAGUCUGACGCAGCGACGCCGCGUGGGUGACGAAGGCCUUCGGGUUGUAAAGCCCUGUGGGGAGAGACGAACCGGCAUCUGGCUAACAUCCAGGUGCUCUGACGGUAUCUCCUUAGCAAGCAUCGGCUAACUCUGUGCCAGCGGCCGCGGUAAGACAGAGGAUGCAAACGUUGCUCGGAAUUACUGGGCGUAAAGCGCGCGCAGGCGGUCCGGUAAGUCGGGUGUGAAAGCCCCGGGCUCAACCCUGGAAGUUCACUCGAUACUGCGGGACUGGAGUACUGGAGAGGAGAGCGGAAUUCUCGGUGUAGAGGUGAAAUGCGUAGAUAUCGGGAGGAACACCAGCGGCGAAGGCGGCUCUCUGGACAGAUACUGACGCUGAGGCGCGAAAGCGUGGGAAGCAAA